rnacentral:rRNA from 1 species
GAUGAACGCUGGCGGCGUGCCUAAUACAUGCAAGUCGAGCGAACAGACGAGGAGCUUGCUCCUCUGACGUUAGCGGCGGACGAGUGAGUAACACGUGGAUAACCUACCUAUAAGACUGGGAUAACUUCGGGAAACCGGAGCUAAUACCGGAUAAUAUAUUGAACCGCAUGGUUCAAUAGUGAAAGACGGUUUUGCUGUCACUUAUAGAUGGAUCUGCGCCGCAUUAGCUAGUUGGUAAGGUAACGGCUUACCAAGGCAACGAUGCGUAGCCGACCUGAGAGGGUGAUCGGCCACACUGGAACUGAGACACGGUCCAGACUCCUACGGGAGGCAGCAGUAGGGAAUCUUCCGCAAUGGGCGAAAGCCUGACGGAGCAACGCCGCGUGAGUGAUGAAGGUCUUCGGAUCGUAAAACUCUGUUAUUAGGGAAGAACAAAUGUGUAAGUAACUAUGCACGUCUUGACGGUACCUAAUCAGAAAGCCACGGCUAACUACGUG